rnacentral:rRNA from 1 species
GAUGAACGCUGGCGGCGUGCCUAAUACAUGCAAGUCGAGCGAACGGACGAGAAGCUUGCUUCUCUGAUGUUAGCGGCGGACGGGUGAGUAACACGUGGAUAACCUACCUAUAAGACUGGGGUAACUUCGGGAAACCGGAGCUAAUACCGGAUAAUAUUUUGAACCGCAUGGUUCAGAAGUGAAAGACGGUCUUGCUGUCACUUAUAGAUGGAUCCGCGCUGCAUUAGCUAGUUGGUAAGGUAACGGCUUACCAAGGCAACGAUGCAUAGCCGACCUGAGAGGGUGAUCGGCCACACUGGAACUGAGACACGGUCCAGACUCCUACGGGAGGCAGCAGUAGGGAAUCUUCCGCAAUGGGCGAAAGCCUGACGGAGCAACGCCGCGUGAGUGAUGAAGGUCUUCGGAUCGUAAAACUCUGUUAUUAGGGAAGAACAUAUGUGUAAGUAACUGUGCACAUCUUGACGGUACCUAAUCAGAAAGCCACGGCUAACUACGUG